rnacentral:rRNA from 1 species
CUGGCGGCGUGCCUAAUACAUGCAAGUCGAACGCACUCUCGUUUAGAUUGAAGGAGCUUGCUCCUGAUUGAUAAACAUUUGAGUGAGUGGCGGACGGGUGAGUAACACGUGGGUAACCUGCCCUAAAGUGGGGGAUAACAUUUGGAAACAGAUGCUAAUACCGCAUAAAACCUAACACCGCAUGGUGUAGGGUUGAAAGAUAGUUUCGGCUAUCACUUUAGGAUGGACCCGCGGUGCAUUAGUUAGUUGGUGAGGUAAAGGCUCACCAAGACCGUGAUGCAUAGCCGACCUGAGAGGGUAAUCGGCCACACUGGGACUGAGACACGGCCCAGACUCCUACGGGAGGCAGCAGUAGGGAAUCUUCCACAAUGGACGAAAGUCUGAUGGAGCAACGCCGCGUGAGUGAAGAAGGUUUUCGGAUCGUAAAACUCUGUUGUUGGAGAAGAAUGUAUCUGAUAGUAACUGAUCAGGUAGUGACGGUAUCCAACCAGAAAGCCACGGCUAACUACGUG